ACGUGCUUGCACUGAAUGAGAUUUAACACGAAGUGAGUGGCGGACGGGUGAGUAACACGUGGGUAACCUGCCCAGAAGCAGGGGAUAACACCUGGAAACAGAUGCUAAUACCGUAUAACAGAGAAAACCGCCUGGUUUUCUUUUAAAAGAUGGCUCUGCUAUCACUUCUGGAUGGACCCGCGGCGCAUUAGCUAGUUGGUGAGGUAACGGCUCACCAAGGCGAUGAUGCGUAGCCGACCUGAGAGGGUAAUCGGCCACAUUGGGACUGAGACACGGCCCAGACUCCUACGGGAGGCAGCAGUAGGGAAUCUUCCACAAUGGACGCAAGUCUGAUGGAGCAACGCCGCGUGAGUGAAGAAGGGUUUCGGCUCGUAAAGCUCUGUUGUUAAAGAAGAACGUGGGUGAGAGUAACUGUUCACCCAGUGACGGUAUUUAACCAGAAAGCCACGGCUAACUACGUGCCAGCAGCCGCGGUAAUACGUAGGUGGCAAGCGUUAUCCGGGAUUUAUUGGGCGUAAAGCGAGCGCAGGCGGUCUUUUAAGUCUAAUGUGAAAGCCUUCGGCUCAACCGAAGAAGUGCAUUGGAAACUGGGAGACUUGAGUGCAGAAGAGGACAGUGGAACUCCAUGUGUAGCGGUGAAUGCGUAGAUAUAUGGAAGAACACAAGUGGCGAAGGCGGCUGUCUGGUCUGUAA
rnacentral:rRNA from 1 species